GCUCCAAUAGCUCAGUGGCAGAGCGAGCGGGCGACAACCGUGAGGUCACUGGUUAAAAUCCAGUUCAGAGCA